rnacentral:rRNA from 1 species
AGCAGCCGCGGUAAUUCCAGCUCCAAUAGCGUAUAUUAAAGUUGUUGCAGUUAAAAAGCUCGUAGUUGAAUUUCGGGACCAAUUUGUUGGUCGUGCCUCGGUACGUACUGGUAUUAUUGGUUUCUCCCUUCUGAAGAACCUCGAUGCCAUUAAUUUGGUGUCGUGGGGAAUCAGGACUGUUACUUUGAAAAAAUUAGAGUGUUUAAAGCAGGCAUACGCUUGAAUACAUUAGCAUGGAAUAAUGAAAUAGGACGUUUGAUUCUAUUUUGUUGGUUUCUAGGAUCGACGUAAUGAUUAAUAGGGAUAGUUGGGGGCAUUAGUAUUCAAUUGUCAGAGGUGAAAUUCUUGGAUUUAUUGAAGACUAACUACUGCGAAAGCAUUUGCCAAGGAUGUUUUCAUUAAUCAAGAACGAAAGUUAGGGGAUCGAAGACGAUCAGAUACCGUCGUAGU